rnacentral:tRNA from 1 species
GGCCGCGUGGCCUAAUGGCUAAGGCGCUAGAUUUCGGUCUACAACUCGCAAAUUCUCUAGAGAUUCCAGGUUGGUUCCACUCGACAUCGCCCAGGUUCGAACGCAAGACUAACGAGACAAAAAGGUUCGAAUCCUGGCGUGGUCG